CGCGCAGCCAAGAUGGAAGAACCCUGGAGCAGCGAGAGAACAAUGUUUUGCCUCUAGAUUUGGGGAAAAUCAUGGUACAACAACUUUUGAAGAAAAUCUUGUCACGGAUGGAGUGUGGAAAGGAGCAGGGCGACCAAUUGCAGCUUGGACCAGGGUUCAUUGGAGGAACUCAAAACACAGACUUGGAAGGACCCCUUCGGCUGCCCAACAACAUCCUGACCUAAACUGACGUAACAAAGGACCCCUUCGGCUGAUGAAAUCUUUAAAUGCCAAGCAUUUUCAGAAAAAAUAACCCUUAAAAUCCCAGCCGAUUUUGAGCAUUUUCACUUAUUUUGUAAAGCCUACAGAAUAUUGUGUGCUAUGGCUAUAUACACACGAGUGGUACCAAAUGAAAGAUUGUGCUCUCUUCUUUAAUUAGAAAAAUAAGUAUGAUUCUAACCCAGGGGUGGGCAAACCUUUUGACUGGCGGGCCGAAUUUGGUUCUAAAUUUUGAUCGGGGGGCCGAACCAGGAGCAGAUGGAUGUAGUGUUUGUGUGAAGUAAUAGAAAUGACAUGUAAAGGUCAUUGCAUAAAAGGUUUGUACUUUUAGUAGGUAGUAAAGCAUGGAUAUUCAAAAAAAGCUUUUUGAAAACAAAUGCAUUAAUUAACAGCAUUAAAAAAUAUAUUUUUCCAAAAAACUACUAUCAGUGAUUCUCAUUAAAUACGACACUGUUCUUAUGAAUAAUAGUUUCCACCACUUCAGCGCCUGCAGGUCAGAUUUGUGAAAUAUGUUUAUCGAAUGAGGCGAAAUCACAAACAUUCUGACCAAAUACAUCAUCUUGAUGA